rnacentral:lncRNA from 1 species
GUCUACACCUCUGGCUGUAUUUGACCUGCUGCUACUUCAAGGAAAGAAGCUCCUUUGAGAAUGCAAAACUGUGAUUUUGAAACUGCCUAUUCAUUUUUUUCAAUUGCUAAACGUGUCUGCAGAGACAGGUUAAAACAACUAUAUAAAUAUUAUGAUUUUCAGGAAUGUUUAGCUCAUUGUAUUCCGGUAAUCAAAAGAAAAGGUCAGGUCCUGUGUGUGGUUAUAGAACAGCAAUAGCACAAUUCUGUCUUCUGCUACAGACUUUUAACAAAUGUAUGCUGCUGUAGUGGAAUGUGGAGUUUGGCCCCACAGUACCAUUAUGCCCUAUUCAUUUCCAUAGCAGAAGGUCUAAUUUAUAUGACAUCAUAAGUGGUUGCCAUGGAUAUGAUUGCUGUGACACAAACAUGGCUAGUGAUUAGGACAUCAGAUGAAAAAAGGUUAUGUGAAGAGGAACUCUUCAGGAACUGCAGUCUGUUUUCAUGCAAAUGUCCCUAGCACAAAGCGGCGGACGAGGAAUGCAGAAAAUAGAAUAAAUAACCAGAAUUGCCUCUAAAUGAAAUGUUUUACCAAGUUUUCCCUGAAGCGUCAGCAGCUCUUUAAACAUGCUGGUGAUGGCCCAUCACAAAGCCAGAUGUUACCAUUUAUCAAGUAAAGUAAAGAGCCCCUCCUGCUUCCACAAAUAUGAACUGAAUAUGAAAUCAAAUGGGAAACUGCUGCACUAACACUGGAGAAGAUAUAAUGCAACUUUUAAGCUAUCGACAGACUUGAGAGUAAAAGAAGUGUCUGACAGGAAAGAGCAACACGAGAAUUUUGGGUGGGCUAUCAAAGCUUACCUUCAAAGGUUACCUUGUGUGCUUGCUGGAAAGGAAAUUUGACGUGACCCAGCAAGAAUUGUCAUGCGAAGAGGAUGGAUUAUUGAUGAAGAGAAAGAAUAAGCAUAGACUCCCCGCUUCCAUUUCUGUUUUAGAGUUCAUGUUGGGGGGCCAUAUGCAGAAAGUUUAUCGUCAAGCCACUGCCCUAACAAGUCAAAGAAAUGACCCAGCGUGGAGGCAUUUUGAUCGAAAGCCCAGUGUAACAGAGAGAGAGAGAUCUUGCACCACAGAUACUUUUUGAAAUGGAAAUAAAAUGUGCAGCAUUAGUAUCCUGGCA